rnacentral:rRNA from 1 species
GACGAACGCUGGCGGCGUGCCUAAUACAUGCAAGUUGAGCGCUGAAGGUUGGUACUUGUACCAACUGGAUGAGCAGCGAACGGGUGAGUAACGCGUGGGGAAUCUGCCUUUGAGCGGGGGACAACAUUUGGAAACGAAUGCUAAUACCGCAUAAAAACUUUAAACACAAGUUUUAAGUUUGAAAGAUGCAAUUGCAUCACUCAAAGAUGAUCCCGCGUUGUAUUAGCUAGUUGGUGAGGUAAAGGCUCACCAAGGCGAUGAUACAUAGCCGACCUGAGAGGGUGAUCGGCCACAUUGGGACUGGGACACGGCCCAAACUCCUUCGGGAGGCAGCAGUAGGGGAACUUCGGCAAUGGACGAAAGUCUGACCGGGCAACGCCGCGGGAGGGAAGAAGGUUUUCGGAUCGUAAAACUCUGUUGGUAGAGAAGAACGUUGGUGAGAGUGGAAAGCUCAUCAAGUGACGGUAACUACCCAGAAAGGGACGGCUAACUACGUG